GCCGGGAUAGCUCAGUUGGUAGAGCAGGGG
rnacentral:tRNA from 4 species